UCGUGACAGACCUUGAUCCUGAUAACACCGAUGUGAAAUUGGUGUAAGUUUUCCUGGCCAUGUCCAGCUUGGGUGUGCCAGGAGGAGGUGGUGGCAGUGGUUUCGGUGGCGGCGGCUAUGGAGGUGAUGUGAAAUAAACAUAAUUUUAAUAAAUUACAUUAAAAACGUU